rnacentral:rRNA from 1 species
UACAGAGGGGGCAAGCGUUAUUCGGAAUUAUUGGGCGUAAAGGGCGCGUAGGCGGCCUGGCAAGUGGAUGGUGAAAUCCCUCGGCUUAACCGAGGAACUGCCAUCCAGACUGCUUGGCUUGAGACUGGGAGAGGUGAGUGGAAUUCCCAGUGUAGCGGUGAAAUGCGUAGAUAUUGGGAGGAACACCAGUGGCGAAGGCGGCUCACUGGGCCGAUACUGACGCUGAGGAGCGAAAGCGUGGGGAGCGAACAGG